GCAGUCGAGCGGACAGAUGGGAGCUUGCUCCCUGAUGUUAGCGGCGGACGGGUGAGUAACACGUGGGUAACCUGCCUGUAAGACUGGGAUAACUCCGGGAAACCGGGGCUAAUACCGGAUGGUUGUUUGAACCGCAUGGUUCAAACAUAAAAGGUGGCUUCGGCUACCACUUACAGAUGGACCCGCGGCGCAUUAGCUAGUUGGUGAGGUAACGGCUCACCAAGGCAACGAUGCGUAGCCGACCUGAGAGGGUGAUCGGCCACACUGGGACUGAGACACGGCCCAGACUCCUACGGGAGGCAGCAGUAGGGAAUCUUCCGCAAUGGACGAAAGUCUGACGGAGCAACGCCGCGUGAGUGAUGAAGGUUUUCGGAUCGUAAAGCUCUGUUGUUAGGGAAGAACAAGUACCGUUCGAAUAGGGCGGUACCUUGACGGUACCUAACCAGAAAGCCACGGCUAACUACGUGCCAGCAGCCGCGGUAAUACGUAGGUGGCAAGCGUUGUCCGGAAUUAUUGGGCGUAAAGGGCUCGCAGGCGGUUUCUUAAGUCUGAUGUGAAAGCCCCCGGCUCAACCGGGGAGGGUCAUUGGAAACUGGGGAACUUGAGUGCAGAAGAGGAGAGUGGAAUUCCACGUGUAGCGGUGAAAUGCGUAGAGAUGUGGAGGAACACCAGUGGCGAAGGCGACUCUCUGGUCUGUAACUGACGCUGAGGAGCGAAAGCGUGGGGAGCGAACAGGAUUAGAUACCCUGGUAGUCCACGCCGUAAACGAUGAGUGCUAAGUGUUAGGGGGUUUCCGCCCCUUAGUGCUGCAGCUAACGCAU
rnacentral:rRNA from 1 species